GGGUGACCGAGGUUUUGAUGGACUCCCAGGGCUACCUGGGGAGAAGGGGCACCGGGGUGAUACUGGUUCCCAGGGCCUUCCUGGUCCCCCUGGUGAGGAUGGAGAGCGGGGAGAUGACGGGGAGAUUGGGCCUCGGGGACUGCCUGGAG
rnacentral:lncRNA from 1 species